rnacentral:rRNA from 1 species
UAGCGAAGGGGGCUAGCGUUGUUUCGGAUUUACUGGGCGUAAAGCGCACGUAGGCGGAUCGGUUAAGUCGGGGGUGAAAUCCUGGAGCUCAACUCCAGAACUGCCUUCGAUACUGGCGAUCUUGAGGUCCGGAAGAGGUGAGUGGAACUCCUAGUGUAGAGGUGGAAUUCGUAGAUAUUAGGAAGAACACCAGUGGCGAA